rnacentral:rRNA from 1 species
CGCCUCUUGAAUUUAUAUAAGAGGUCCAGCCUGCCCAGUGACCCUGUUCAACGGCCGCGGUAUCCUAACCGUGCGAAGGUAGCGUAAUCACUUGUUCUCUAAAUGUGGACUAGUAUGAAUGGCAUCACGAAGGUUAUACUGUCUCCUUUUUCUAAUCAGUGAAACUAAUCUCCCCGUGAAGAAGCGGGGAUGAUACUAUAAGACGAGAAGACCCUAUGGAGCUUUAAACAGUACAGCAUCUGCCCCGUAACACUAAAAUUUCUGAAUUAAAACUUCAUUGGACAGUAUGACUGCGAGUUUUUGGUUGGGGUGACCACGGAGCACAAUACAACCUCCAUGCUGAAAGAAAAUUUCUAAGCCAAGGUCUACAAACCUAAGCAUCAACACAUUGACAUCCAUUGACCCAAUACACUUGAACAACGAACCAAGUUACCCUAGGGAUAACAGCGCAAUCCACUUCAAAAGCUCCUAUCGACAAGUGGGUUUACGACCUCGAUGUUGGAUCAGGGUCUCCCAGUGGUGCAGCCGCUACUAAAGGUUCGUUUGUUCAACGAUUAAAACCCU